ACUGCCAGAGGAUGGGGGUGCCUGCUGGGCAGACUGGGAACACCGAGGAGGGCAGGCUGGACAAGCAGCCAGCCAGGGCAGGCAGAAGGAAGGCCUGGAGCCCAAUCUUUCCUGUCCCAGUUCCCAGCACGAGCAUCCUCUGGCACUGGAGUCCUGAGUUCAAGUCCCAUUCACCCUCGGACCCCUCUGUGGGCCUCACUUUCCCCAUCUGAGUACAAGAGCAGAGACCUGAUGAGGUCAGCGCUUGGGAUUCCCACUUCUUUAAGCUGUUCUUGGCAAGGGUGCAGCCAGCAGCAGGGAGUCUGAGUCCUUUCUUCCAGUCAGCCUGCUGGGACCCGAGAAGGGGGACCCAACACUAGUGAUGCAUGUUCUGUUGAACCCUCCUCACCUGACAGAUGAAAACAGGCUCAAAGCACCGUGGUGACCCACUGAGAUCAUGCUCAGCCUCUGGGGCUGAGGGCAUCACUCCCAUUUCUGAUGAGCAGCUCUGAAAGGCAGAUACGUGCUAAGAGCGGGACUUGAAUCUCAUCUCUGGACUCGAGUCCAGGCCUCUUGCUACCAUAUGUGGCUCCCUCUGGAUCCCAGGGCUGGCUUGGCUGGGAGGAGGCCAGAGAGGCAGGGAUGCGAGAGACAGUGUUCCUUUGGCUCUUCUGGAUGACAAGCGCCACAGAAAUGCUUAUGCAAGAGCUCAAGGAGACGGGACUUGUAGUGCCCGACGCUGUGGCUGUGCAGUGGGGCCUGGGAAUCCUGCAUCCUUGUCCAGGGCACUUCAGGGUCAUCUUUACCUCCAAAAUCAAUCAACCUUCCAGCUUCUAGGCCUGUGGGCUUGGGUCUCUCUCACAUGCGUCUGUUCCUCUGUGUCCUGGAGAUGUCUAGAACCCCUGGUGGUCAGCCCUGCCAUUCCAGACUCAGGGGUGUGAGCACACAGCCUCUCUCUGCCUGCAGGUCGGACACUACCCCUGACCCUGGAACUCAAAGCCUGUCUCCCUUGCUCCUUGCUGCCUGGGUGUCCUUCUGUUUCCGGCCUCCAUGGGUGGCCCUGCCUGACCCUGUCCUGGCCUGAGGGGUGGGGUGGGGGAAUGGGAAGGGUGUGCACAGUGCUGCUCUUGUUCAGGGGAUCAGGGAGGGACCAGUGCCCGCUCUUGUGUUCCAGCCCCUGGCUUGGUCUUGGCAAGCCGGAGGGUGAGCUGCAGCUCUACCUGCAGCAUCAUCUCAACAUCCUUCCUGCCGGCAGAGCAGGCCCAGAGCCACUAUGGAAUCUGACCAAGAAGGCCCUUAGCUGGGCUCUCAUUUCAGGCUAUUACUGAUCCCUCUGCCUCUAGCUGCUCUGCCUCAUGACCUGUGCCACAUGAUGAAGACAGGAUGUGGGUGGUGUGGAUAUGUCCAGAGACACAGUGGACGCAACACUGGUCCCAGGGCUGCAGUUUCAAGUGUCCCAUCUGGGAACUGGAGGUUUGCAAACAAGGUUUAGAUUCGGGAGAUAGGAAAUCAGCCAGAGGGUGGGGCCCAGU